rnacentral:rRNA from 1 species
AUUGAACGCUGGCGGCAGGCCUAACACAUGCAAGUCGAACGAGUGGCGGACGGGUGAGUAAUGUCUGGGAAACUGCCUGAUGGAGGGGGAUAACUACUGGAAACGGUCGCUAAUACCGCAUACCAUCGGAUGUGCCCAGAUGGGAUUAGCUAGUAGGUGGGGUAAAGGCUCACCUAGGCGACGAUCCCUAGCUGGUCUGAGAGGAUGAGCAGACACACUGGAACUGAGUCACGGUCCAGACUCCUACGGGUGGCAGGAGUGGGGAAUAUUGCAGAAUGGGGGAAAGCCUGAGGCAGCCAUGCAGCGUGUAUGAUGAAGGCCUUCGGGUUGUAAAGGACUUUCGGCGGGGAGGCGUUACCCGCAGAAGAAGCACCGGCUAAAUCCGUGCCAGCAGCCGCGGUAAUAC